GCUUGUCUCAAAGAUUAAGCCAUGCAUGUCUAAGUAUAAGCCCUUGUACGGCGAAACUGCGAAUGGCUCAUUAAAACAGUUAUCGUUUCUUUGGUAAUCACUUGCUACAUGGAUAACUGUAGUAAUUCUAGAGCUAAUACAUGCGUUCAAACCCGACUUAACGGAAGGGUUGCAUUUAUUAGAUACAAAGCCAACCUGAAGCGAUUCAGAUCUGUUGGUGAUUCAUAAUAACUAAGCGAAUCGCAAAGGUUUACCUUGCGAUGCACCUUUCAAGUUUCUGACCUAUCAGCUAUCGACGGUAGGGUAUUGGCCUACCGUGGCUUUGACGGGUAACGGAGAAUUUGGGUUCGAUUCCGGAGAGGGAGCCUGAGAAACGGCUACCACAUCUAAGGAAGGCAGCAGG
rnacentral:rRNA from 1 species